UGCCAGCAGCCGCGGUAAUACGGAGGGGGCAAGCGUUAUUCGGAAUUAUUGGGCGUAAAGGGCGCGUAGGCGGCAUGGUAAGUCAGUGGUGAAAUCCCUCGGCCCAACCGAGGAACUGCCUCUGAAACUGCCAAGCUUGAGGCCGGGAGAGGGCAGUGGAAUUCCCAGUGUAGCGGUGAAAUGCGUAGAUAUUGGGAGGAACACCAGUGGCGAAGGCGACUUCCUGGGCCAAUACUGACGCUGAGGUGCGAAAGCGUGGGGAGCAAACAGGAUUAGAUA
rnacentral:rRNA from 1 species